GGCUCAGGACAAACGCUGGCGGCGUGCCUAACACAUGCAAGUCGAGCGCGAAAGGGACUUCGGUCCCGAGUAAAGCGGCGAACGGGUGAGUAACACGUGGGCAACCUGCCUCAAGGACUGGGAUAACACAGGGAAACCUGUGCUAAUACCGGGCGAUGUCGUCGGGCGCAAGCCCGCCGACCAAAUGGUAGCUUCGGCCUCCGCCUUGAGAUGGGCCCGCGUCCUAUCAGCUUGUUGGUGAGGUAAUGGCUCACCAAGGCUACGACGGGUAGCUGGUCUGAGAGGAUGAUCAGCCACACUGGGACUGAGAUACGGCCCAGACUCCUACGGGAGGCAGCAGUGGGGAAUUUUGCGCAAUGGGCGAAAGCCUGGCGCAGCAACGCCGCGUGAGCGAAGAAGGCCUUCGGGUUGUAAAGCUCUGUCAGGGGGAAAGAAGGCACCUGGGUUAAUAGCCCAAGGGCUGACGGUACCCCCAAAGGAAGCCACGGCUAACUACGUGCCAGCAGCCGCGGUAAUACGUAGGUGGCGAGCGUUGUCCGGAAUCAUUGGGCGUAAAGAGCGCGUAGGUGGCUUGUCAGGUCUGAUGUGAAAUCCUGGGGCUCAACUCCAGAACUGCAUCGGAAACCGGCUUGCUAGAGUCUGGGAGAGGAGAGUGGAAUUCCUGGUGUAGCGGUGAAAUGCGUAGAUAUCAGGAGGAACACCGGUAGCGAAGGCGGCUCUCUGGAACAGUACUGACACUGAGGCGCGAAAGCUAGGGGAGCGAACAGGAUUAGAUACCCUGGUAGUCCUAGCCGUAAACGAUGGACACUAGGUGUCGGGGGUGUCGACUCCCUCGGUGCCGAAGCUAACGCAUUAAGUGUCCCGCCUGGGGAGUACGGCCGCAAAGCUAAAA
rnacentral:rRNA from 1 species